AGAUUGAACGCUGGCGGCAUGCCUAACACAUGCAAGUCGAACGGGAGUAGCAAUACUCUAGUGGCGGACGGGUGAGGAAUACGUAGGAAUUUGCCCUUAAGUGGGGGAUAACCCGGGGAAACCCGGAUUAAUACCGCAUGACCUCGAAAGAGCAAAGUGGGGGAUCGCAAGACCUCACGCUUUUGGAGAAGCCUACGUCGGAUUAGCUAGUUGGUGAGGUAAUGGCUCACCAAGGCGACGAUCCGUAACUGGUCUGAGAGGAUGAUCAGUCACACCGGAACUGAGACACGGUCCCGGACUCCUACGGGAGCAGCAGUGGGGAAUA
rnacentral:rRNA from 1 species